rnacentral:rRNA from 1 species
AACGCGAAGAACCUUACCAGCUUUUGACAUGUCCUGGACGGAUUGCAGAGAUGCGAUCUUCCCUUCGGGGCCGGGAACACAGGUGCUGCAUGGCUGUCGUCAGCUCGUGUCGUGAGAUGUUGGGUUAAGUCCCGCAACGAGCGCAACCCUCGCCCUUAGUUGCCAUCAUUCAGUUGGGCACUCCAGGGGGACUGCCGGUGAUAAGCCGGAGGAAGGUGGGGAUGACGUCAAGUCCUCAUGGCCCUUACAGGCUGGGCUACACACGUGCUACAAUGGCGGUGACAGCGGGAGGCGAAGGGGCGACCCUGAGCAAAUCUCGAAAAGCCGUCUCAGUUCGGAUUGCACUCUGCAACUCGAGUGCAUGAAGUCGGAAUCGCUAGUAAUCGCGGAUCAGCACGCCGCGGUGAAUACGUUCCCGGGCCUUGUA